CUGGCGGCGUGCCUAAUACAUGCAAGUCGAACGGUCUUUUCUAUGGAAGCUUGCUUCCACUGAGAAGAUAGUGGCGAACGGGUGAGUACACGUGGGGUAACCUGCCCAUAAGAGGGGGAUAACAUCCGGAAACGGGUGCUAAUACCGCAUAGUUUUCUUGAUCGCAUGAUCGGGAAAGGAAAGACGGCCUUUGUGCUGUCGCUUAUGGAUGGACCCGCGGCGUAUUAGUUAGUUGGUGAGGUAACGGCUCACCAAGACGAUGAUACGUAGCCGACCUGAGAGGGUGAUCGGCCACAUUGGGACUGAGACACGGCCCAAACUCCUACGGGAGGCAGCAGUAGGGAAUCUUCCGCAAUGGACGAAAGUCUGGACGGAGCAACGCCGCGUGAGUGAAGAAAGGGUUUUCGGAUCGUAAAACUCUGUUGUCAGAGAAGAACAAGUUGGAGAGUAACUGCUCCAGCCUUGACGGUAUCUGACCAGAAAGCCACGGCUAACUACGUGCCAGCCGCAGC
rnacentral:rRNA from 1 species